rnacentral:lncRNA from 1 species
CGUUUACCUUUUUUUGGUGCUCAAUUUUCAAAUAUGCUGUGAAUUUUAUACUUACAAUGCCUCCCAAAUGGUUAUAGCUGCGUUUUAAGAGUAUGAUGUACACGUGGCUAGUGGUGAUCAUUUGGACUUUGCAGCUUUCAAAUGAACCACACCUUUUGCCUGUCUCCCCUGCUGGACAGCACCCCGAGAAAAGAUCUGUGUCUUUUGUUCACUAUGUCUGCAGCUCCUAGAACAGUCUGAGUACAAUACGUGUUCAGUAAACAUUUGUUGGAUGGCUCACAUUGUCAGAACUGCAGCCUGGAGCUGAGAUGGUACCAGAUUUCUGCAGAGAUGCCAGGAGGGUUGGUGGCCAGCAUGCUGGACAGGAUCUACCACUCUGCUCACAGCCCUCCAAGGCCUGUGGAGUCCUGGAUUCUCCUGGGAGCCCCACCCCCGUGUGCCUCCCGCUCGCUGCUCCUUCUGUGCAGGGGGUUGGUUGGACCCAUGCAGACCUUGGUCACUCUGCGUCCACAGCACAGGUUAGGACCACUGUGGGCCUGUGUGCCAAUCUGGCUGCCAGUGCUUCUUUCCAUCCCGCUCCCACACUUCAUUCCUCUCGGUGCGAAGAGGAAUCUGGCUUCCUCCUCUGCACCUGGGCUACACUUAGGACUUGCUUUGAAG